GUACUCACUUUGGCAGCACAUGUACUAAAAUCGGAACAAUAAAGAUUAGCAUGCGUCCUGCACAAGGAUGACAUACAAAUUCUUCUUAUCAUCCAUCAGUCU
rnacentral:snRNA from 1 species